GGGGAUGAGAGGCCCGGCGGGCUCGGGCCUGGGGCUGCAUGGACACCCAGGCGCCAGGCCGGUUGCGACGGCAGAGGCCGGAGGACCUGCAGGUUCCGGGGGACGCGACCUACAGGCUCGAUAAUCACAGGAUCUGUCUUCCAAGUUAAUGCAGGCAUCGUGUUUCUCAAGUGUUUUGCACAGCAUAAGGAGUGACUAGCUUUCUACCCUGCAGCAUCUGUUUCCUCACCACCCACUGCCUGACCACGGAGACAGUGUCACUUAUGUUCUGUCACAGCAGCACCCCACUUCCAGAAACGGGUGUGCAGGAGAUUAGAAGCAGCUGCACAGGAG